rnacentral:rRNA from 1 species
CCUACGGGAGGCAGCAGUGAGGAAUAUUGGUCAAUGGCCGUAAGGCUGAACCAGCCAAGUCGCGUGAAGGAAGAAGGAUCUAUGGUUUGUAAACUUCUUUUAUAGGGGAAUAAAGGUAUCCACGUGUGGAUAUUUGCAUGUACCCUAUGAAUAAGCAUCGGCUAACUCCGUGCCAGCAGCCGCGGUAAUACGGAGGAUGCGAGCGUUAUCCGGAUUUAUUGGGUUUAAAGGGUGCGUAGGUUGUUUUUUAAGUCAGCGGUGAAAGUUUGUGGCUCAACCAUAAAAUUGCCGUUGAAACUGGAAGACGUGAGUGUGUUUGAGGUAGGCGGAAUGCGUGGUGUAGCGGUGAAAUGCAUAGAUAUCACGCAGAACUCCGAUUGCGAAGGCAGCUUACUAAGCCAUAACUGACACUGAAGCGCGAAAGCGUGGGGAUCAAACAGGAUUAGAGACCCCGGUAGUC